rnacentral:tRNA from 1 species
GGAUNNAGGUGGCAGAGCGGUUGAAUGCGGCGGUCUCGAAAACCGUUGUGCGGGCAACCGUACCGAGGGUUCGAAUCCCUCCCUCUCCG